UACGAAGGGGGCUAGCGUUGCUCGGAAUCACUGGGCGUAAAGGGUGCGUAGGCGGGUCUUAAGUCAGGGGUGAAAUCCUGGAGCUCAACUCCAGAACUGCCUUUGAUACUGAGGAUCUUGAGUUCGGGAGAGGUGAGUGGAACUGCGAGUGUAGAGGUGAAAUUCGUAGAUAUUCGCAAGAACACCGGUGGCGAAGGCGGCCCACUGGCUCGAUACUGACGCUGAGGUGCGAAAGCGUGGGGAGCAAACAGG
rnacentral:rRNA from 1 species